rnacentral:rRNA from 1 species
UACGAAGGGGCCUAGCGUUGCUCGGAAUUACUGGGCGUAAAGCGCACGUAGGCGGACUUUUAAGUCGGGGGUGAAAUCAUGGAGCUCAACUCCAGAACUGCCUUCGAAACUGAAAGUCUUGAGUCCGGGAGAGGUGAGUGGAACUGCGAGUGUAGAGGUGAAAUUCGUAGAUAUUCGCAAGAACACCAGUGGCGAAGGCGGCUCACUGGCCCGAUACUGACGCUGAGGUGCGAAAGCGUGGGGAGCAAACAGG